rnacentral:rRNA from 1 species
AUUGAACGCUGGCGGCAGGCCUAACACAUGCAAGUCGAACGAGUGGCGGACGGGUGAGUAAUGUCUGGGAAACUGCCCGAUGGAGGGGGAUAACUACUGGAAACGGUAGCUAAUACCGCAUACCAUCGGAUGUGCCCAGAUGGGAUUAGCUAUUAGGUGGGGUAACGGCUCACCUAGGCGACGAUCCCUAGCUGGUCUGAGAGGAUGACCAGCCACACUGGAACUAAGACACGGUCCAGACUCCGACGGGAGGCAGCAGGGGGGAAAAUUACACAAUGGGCGAAAGCCUGAUGCAGCCAUGCCGCGUGUAUGAAGAAGGCCUUCGGGUUGUAAAGUACUUUCAGCGAGGAAGCGUUACUCACAGAGGAAGCACCGGCUAACUCCGUGCCAGCAGCCGCGGUAAUUC